UGAACGAGUACCGUGAGGGAAAGGUGAAAAGCACCCCGGUGAGGGGAAUGAAAUAGUAUCUGAAACCAUACGCUUACAAGCAGUUGUAGCCUGGCCUACGUUCCUCAUUGCAUUCGGAACUUCGGCAGGCAAGCCUCGCUCAAUCAAUUGAGCAACGCAGGGGCUUGCCCGCCGUAGCAAACGAGCGCAGCGAGGAGCGUAGGCGGGUAACAGCGUGCCUAUUGAAGAAUGAACCUACGAGUUGUUUCGUCCGACGAAGAUUAAGGUCGAGUAGACCGAAGUCGCAGUGAAAGCGAGCCUUCAAUGGCGUUGUUCUGAUUGAGUCUGCUACCGAGCCAAAGUCCUAAGAUCAUAUCGAAGGAUCUCUCGGUGGUUGACUCAUGAUGAACUAGUCGUCCGAAACAGACCCGAAGCCGUGUGAGCUACCCAUGACCAGGAUGAAGCGACAGUAACAUGUCGUGGAGGUCCGAACCCGUGAGUCGUGCAACGCUCUGGGAUGAGUUGUGGGUAGAGGAGAAAUUCCAAUCGAACUCGGCGAUAGCUGGUUCUCCGCGAAAUAGUUUUUGGACUAGCGUUAGAUGUUUCAUCAUGGUGGUAGAGCACUGAAUGGGAUUACGUGGCGCAAGCCUAGUGAUUCCAACCAAACUCCGAAUGCCGUGAUGGCAAAGUCUAGCAGUCAGUCCGUGGGGGCUAAGCUCCACCGGACGUGAGGGGAAGAACCCAGAUCUCCAACCAAGGUCCCUAAAUCGAUGCUCAGUGUGUAAAGGUAGUCUUGGGGCUCAAACAACCAGGAGGUUGGCUUAGAAGCAGCCAUUCUUUAAAGAAAGCGUAAUAGCUCACUGGUCGAGCCCCGGGGCGCCGAAAAUGUACCGGGACUUAAGCAUCGUACCGCAGUUGAGGAUUGUAGAAUCAGUGAUGAUUCUGCAGUGGUAGCGGAGCGUUCUGUCUGCGCUGAAGCGGGUCGCGCGAGCAACCGUGGAGCGGACAGAAGUGAGAAUGUAGGUAUAAGUAGCAUAACAGCGGGUGAAAACCCCGCUCGCCGUAAACCCAAGGUUUCCUGGGCAACGCAAAUCGUCCCAGGGUGAGUCGGGCCUAAGCCGAGGCCGAAAGGCGUAGGUGAUGGACAGCAGGUUAAUAUUCCUGCACGGUGACGUGAUUAUCCCAGUGAUGACGCAGGUUCGGAUUCUGCAGGUUCUUUGGUUAUGUGCCUGCCGCAAGGCGCAGACUGGUCCGCGAGGACUGGCCAAUGCAGGAAAAGAAUCGGCCGAGAAAAGUCACUGGGUUACGUCACGGCAUCCCCGUACCGUAAACCGACACAGGUGGGUGGGCAGCAAAUCUGCCAAGGCGUACGAGAGAACCCUCGUUUAGGAACUCGGCAAAACAGUGGCCGUACCUUCGGUACAUGGCCUACCCGCUCGCAAGAGUGGGUUGCAAUAAAUGACGUCAACCGACUGUUUACCAAAAACACAGGUCCCUGCUAAAGCGCAAGCUGAUGUAUAGGGGCUGAUGCCUGGCCAGUGUCAGAACGUUAAGGGGAGGGGUGCAAGCCCUGAUCUGAAGCGCUGAUGAACGCCGGCGGUAACUAUAAACAUGGACGAUUGUAGUUACUAAAAUAAAUCUGGCCAUAUGCUGGAAACACCGUAGUAUUCUUGACUACUCGCGAUGGCGGUAUUAUCCUGACGGUAGUACUACCCGCAGUAACAAUGUCAAUGAUGCGGUCAAUCAGCAGGAAAGACCAGAACUCGUUCGAUUCAAUCCCCCAUGACCUUGCCUGGUACUUGGUGGGGUUUGCUGAUGGAGAAGGAAGUUUCAACAUUUCCUUUAAGCGACAGCCGGAUGUGCGACUAGGGUGGAAACCCGCUCCAAGUUUCAACGUCUCGCAACGCGAUGACUCUAUCUGCAAGCUCUUUCUCAGGACCUUCGAGGUGGGAACAAUCCGAUAUCGAAAAGAUGGUGUCUGCUAUUACGAAGUUCGUUCAAUCGCAGACCUAGAAAAGAAGGUCAUCCCCUUCUUUGAAUGUUUUCCACUCCGCUCAUGGAAACGGCAUGACUUUCUGGUUUUUACCAGAAUCAUUCGACUGAUGAGCACCGGAAAUCAUCUUACGAUCAACGGGUUGAAGAUUAUUCUCCGAUUGAGAAAUCAAAUGAAUCGAGGCGGUAAUCGUAAGAUUACUGAUCAAGCGAUCAUCGUAUCACUCCGAGCUCUGGAAUCCUCAGAGACUAUACGCCAGACGUCGCUCCGUGAAAGCGGAACAUGACGAUGAUAUAGUCCGAUCUUUCCCGCCAACUUAGCGGGAUCUCAUUGAAUUGCUGAAAACGAUUUGAUGGGGCAUGGCGACAUGAAGCUAACAAAUACAAUGAACCGUCCUAAGGUAGCGAAAUUCCUUGUCGGGUAAGUUCCGACCUGCACGAAUGGCAUAACGAGUUGACGACUCUCUCAACGAGGGACUCGGCGAAAUUACAAGACGAGUAAAGAUGCUCGUUACCCACAGUUAGACGAAAAGACCCCGUGAAGCUUUACUAUAACUUGGCAUUGCUUUCACGAU
rnacentral:rRNA from 1 species